CACAUAUAGCACCAAGAUGCAGCUGGCUAUUGCUGUUAUUUCUGUCAUCAGUCUCUUAGAACCCUUUGUUCUAGGGCUUGCGACAUUUUAGGUUAUGUUCUUUGCUAAGAUGUUGCUGACACUUUUUAAUAGAGAGGAAUUUGAUUUCUGUUCCUACUACCAGAUAAUCAGCAGAUCAGUAGAAGAGAGGAACACCACACACAAAUGGAACAAUGACAUCUAUCAUUCUCAUUAUUUCAUGAUGAGCUUUGGAUCACCCCUGCUUGGGAUCCCAGGAACAUCUACAGAGUUGCACCUUACCAGCCUUCUUCUCAAUUGUGGACUCAAACAAAUCUGAGGUGAGGCCUCAAGCAUACAUUUUUUAACCAAAGUGCUAGAAUAUUUCAUUAUUAAAAGAAUCCUUGAUUCAGUUUUAAGAAAGGCAAAUAUUAGCCACUACAUUUUCUGAGACUGAGACUUGAAUUAUAUAUUAAUGCAUGUGAAAUCUGUAAGAUAAAAGCAUAUGUAUCUAUAACAGGAGAA
rnacentral:lncRNA from 1 species